rnacentral:rRNA from 1 species
AUUGAACGCUGGCGGCAUGCCUUACACAUGCAAGUCGAACGGUAACAGGGAGCUUGCUCCGCUGACGAGUGGCGAACGGGUGAGUAAUGUAUCGGAACGUACCUUUCAGUGGGGGAUAACGUAGCGAAAGUUACGCUAAUACCGCAUAUUCUGUGAGCAGGAAAGCAGGGGACCUUCGGGCCUUGCGCUGAUUGAGCGGCCGAUAUCAGAUUAGCUAGUUGGUGAGGUAAAGGCUCACCAAGGCAACGAUCUGUAGCGGGUCUGAGAGGAUGGUCCGCCACACUGGAACUGCGACACGGUCCAGACUCCUACGGGAGGCAGCAGUGGGGAAUUUUGGACAAUGGGGGCAGCCCUGAUCCAGCCAUGCCGCGUGAGUGAAGAAGGCCUUCGGGUUGUAAAGCUCUGUCGGCCGUGAAGAAAUCGCACGGGCUAAUACCCUGUGUGGAUGACGGUACCGGAAUAAGAAGCACCGGCUAACUACGUGCCAGCCGCCGCCGUAACAC